rnacentral:tRNA from 1 species
GCCCAGGUGGUGUAAUGGUAAACACGCGUGUUCGAGGGGCACGUGCCUGAAUAAGGCGUGCGGGUUCAAGUCCCGCCCUGGGCACCG